AAGAGGAGGUGCAGGUGGUUGCAGGCUGGGGAAUCAACGCCCUAGUCUGAGGAAAGUCCGGGCUUCCCAAAGACCAGACUUGCUGGGUAACGCCCAGUGCGGGCGACCGUGAGGAGAGUGCCACAGAAAAAUACCGCCUGACUUGAACUUAAACAUUCAAGCCAGGUAAGGGUGCAAAGGUGCGGUAAGAGCGCACCAGCAGCAUCGAGAGGUGCUGGCUCGGUAAACCCCGGUCGGAAGCAAGGUCGAACGGAGCCAAGGUUGGUCUUUUCCCGGCUCCGGGCAGUCUAGAGUUCGCUACAGUCUGCGUAAUCCGCUAGAGGUGUCUGGUAACAGGCAUCCCAGAUAGAUAACCGCCCUUAGCGCGACUUGUCGCGUCAAAGAACAGAACCCGGCUUAUGUCCGCCUCUUUCCU
rnacentral:RNase_P_RNA from 1 species